AGAGGAAGUGACAUCAGUUUUUUCGCAAGUAUUUUCUCUCAAUGCAGAUCAACUGCUUGAUUAUGAUUACUUGUGUGUAAUGACUGGUAUGAAGAAGCUGAAAAGGCCUUCUGUUAGUAGUAGCUUUUCAUGGAGUGGGCAGGAGGUUGCAUCCUUGACUGGACAAGGUAGCCUAUAUAUUAUGGCAAACACACCACUACCAUCGAAAAUUUCAGUGAUCGGUGAUGAUGAUGAUGAUGAUGACGACAAUGACUGUGAACCUGAAUUGCAAGCUACAAAUAAUGGUGCUUCUGAGCAAAGAUCUAUAGCGGGUACAAUAGAAGAGCCACAAACUGUUGCAACGGUUGGGAGCGAAGGUGUAAACACUUCAGACCUUGACAUUUAACAAGCAAUGUUUCCUCAAACAUCAGCAGCUGUCAUAGAGGAGGCAUUAAAAAGCAAUCUUACAAUAGAUUUUGCCAUUGAGGAGUUAUUUUCCCAUUCUGUUGAAUCUGUAGAAACAUCAGGCAACUUUGAAGCAGCGGAAUUCUUUGGACGGCAGUUGACUGGUGACAUUUAUACGCUCUCGGUUUCUAGAGAUAAUUUUUGGCAGGGGGCGUUCAUGUUUUACAAACGUGGUACAGACUUGGAAAGGCCAUUUCGUGUUUCGUUCGAUGAAAAUGGCAUAGAGCUUGGAAUAGACACUGGAGGGCCUCGUAGAGAGUUUUUCCAAAUACUGGCAGAUAGCAUGACGUCGACGUACUUCGGGUUUUUUGAGGGAGAUAUACCAAAUCUUUUGCCAGCGAUGAAAGGACCGGCGUUAAGACUUGGUCACUUCCGAAUAAUUGGAACCAUGAUCGCCCACUCGAUAGUCAAUGGGGG